AUGAACGCUAGCGACAGGCUUAACACAUGCAAGUCGAGGGGCAGCGGGGGUAGCGAUACCCGCCGGCGACCGGCGCACGGGUGAGUAACGCGUAUGCAACUUGCCUAUCAGAGGGGGAUAACCCGGCGAAAGUCGGACUAAUACCGCAUGAAGCAGGGGCCCCGCAAGGGGAUAUUUGCUAAAGAUUCAUCGCUGAUAGAUAGGCAUGCGUUCCAUUAGGCAGUUGGCGGGGUAACGGCCCACCAAACCGACGAUGGAUAGGGGUUCUGAGAGGAAGGUCCCCCACAUUGGUACUGAGACACGGACCAAACUCCUACGGGAGGCAGCAGUGAGGAAUAUUGGUCAAUGGCCGAGAGGCUGAACCAGCCAAGUCGCGUGAGGGAUGAAGGUUCUAUGGAUCGUAAACCUCUUUUAUAAGGGAAUAAAGUGCGGGACGUGUCCCGUUUUGUAUGUACCUUAUGAAUAAGGAUCGGCUAACUCCGUGCCAGCAGCCGCGGUAAUACGGAGGAUCCGAGCGUUAUCCGGAUUUAUUGGGUUUAAAGGGUGCGUAGGCGGCCUUUUAAGUCAGCGGUGAAAGUCUGUGGCUCAACCAUAGAAUUGCCGUUGAAACUGGGGGGCUUGAGUAUGUUUGAGGCAGGCGGAAUGCGUGGUGUAGCGGUGAAAUGCAUAGAUAUCACGCAGAACCCCGAUUGCGAAGGCAGCCUGCCAAGCCAUUACUGACGCUGAUGCACGAAAGCGUGGGGAUCAAACAGGAUUAGAUACCCUGGUAGUCCACGCAGUAAACGAUGAUCACUAGCUGUUUGCGAUACAGUGUAAGCGGCACAGCGAAAGCGUUAAGUGAUCCACCUGGGGAGUACGCCGGCAACGGUGAAACUCAAAGGAAUUGACGGGGGCCCGCACAAGCGGAGGAACAUGUGGUUUAAUUCGAUGAUACGCGAGGAACCUUACCCGGGUUUGAACGCAUUCGGACCGAGGUGGAAACACCUUUUCUAGCAAUAGCCGUUUGCGAGGUGCUGCAUGGUUGUCGUCAGCUCGUGCCGUGAGGUGUCGGCUUAAGUGCCAUAACGAGCGCAACCCUUGCCACUAGUUACUAACAGGUAAAGCUGAGGACUCUGGUGGGACUGCCAGCGUAAGCUGCGAGGAAGGCGGGGAUGACGUCAAAUCAGCACGGCCCUUACAUCCGGGGCGACACACGUGUUACAAUGGCGUGGACAAAGGGAAGCCACCUGGCGACAGGGAGCGAAUCCCCAAACCACGUCUCAGUUCGGAUCGGAGUCUGCAACCCGACUCCGUGAAGCUGGAUUCGCUAGUAAUCGCGCAUCAGCCAUGGCGCGGUGAAUACGUUCCCGGGCCUUGUACACACCGCCCGUCAAGCCAUGGGAGCCGGGGGUACCUGAAGUCCGUAACCGAAAGGAUCGGCCUAGGGUAAAACUGGUGACUGGGGCU
rnacentral:rRNA from 1 species